GAUGAACGCUGGCGGUCUGCUUAACACAUGCAAGUCGAACGGGGUAGAAAUACCUAGUGGCGGACGGGUGAGUAACGCGUGAGAAUCUAGCUUCAGAAUGGGGACAACAGAGGGAAACCGCUGCUAAUACCCGAUGUGCCGAAAGGUGAAAGAUUUAUCGUCUGAAGAAGAGCUCGCGUCCGAUUAGCUAGUUGGUAGGGUAAAAGCCUACCAAGGCGACGAUCGGUAGCUGGUCUGAGAGGAUGACCAGCCACACUGGGACUGAGACACGGCCCAGACUCCUACGGGAGGCAGCAGUGGGGAAUUUUCCGCAAUGGGCGAAAGCCUGACGGAGCAAGACCGCGUGAGGGAGGAAGGCUCUUGGGUUGUAAACCUCUUUUCUCUGGGAAGAAAAAAAUGACGGUACCAGAGGAAUCAGCAUCGGCUAACUCCGUGCCAGCAGCCGCGGUAAUACGGAGGAUGCAAGCGUUAUCCGGAAUUAUUGGGCGUAAAGCGUCCGUAGGUGGCAAUUCAAGUCUGCCGUUAAAACCAGUGGCUUAACCACUGACAGGCGGUGGAAACUGAAUAGCUAGAGUGUGGUAGGGGUAGAGGGAAUUCCCAGUGUAGCGGUGAAAUGCGUAGAGAUUGGGAAGAACACCGGUGGCGAAAGCGCUCUGCUGGACCACAACUGACACUCACAGGACGAAAGCUAGGGGAGCGAAAGGGAUUAGAUACCCCUGUAGUCCUAGCCGUAAACGAUGACAACUAGGUGUUGCCCG
rnacentral:rRNA from 1 species